GUCUAUGGCCAUACCACCUUGAACAUGCCCGAUCUCAACUGAUCUCAGAAGCUAAGCAGGGUCGAGCCUGGUUAGUACUUGGAUGGGAGACAAUGCUUCUCCCUAAAAUAAUCUCACAAAUCUUUAGCA
rnacentral:rRNA from 1 species